CUUGCUUUACAUAGCUAGAAAUCAUAAUGCUAUAAAAUAUUAAUUUAAGCUAUAUACGUCGUCAGGUUCAUUAAAAGAAAUUUACAUGUAAAUCUUUUUACACUGUAGAAUUAAAAUAAGACGAGGCUACCUGUUAUAACCAAAAAAAGAUAACCUGAUAAUGGUUGAUAUAUAAAAAUUUCUUACACUAAUGAUGUAUAUAUAUAACCUAAACUCAUAGAACAAACACACUCAAAUAUUAAUACAAUAACACUAAGCCGUUAUUAUUUGGCCAUAGGCCUAAUGCAUAAAACACUUAAUUUUAAAGUAGAUUACAAACACAUACAACAUUUAUAGUAAGAAAAAACUCAACAAAGAACUAAGUAAAGAUAUGAUUAAUUACCAUAAUAAUCUACCUUAACAAUAAUUUUAAGUCCUAAUAUAGAGCCUAUCAAGAGACUCAAAUGCCAAAGGAUAAAGAAGUUGCCCUUAAUCAAGAUUAAUAAUCUUAAUCAUGAUUAUUAAUCAAGAUUCUUCAUGAAUUAAUGAUAAUAGUUCCCACCACACAUCACAAAAAAAAAAAAAAAAAAACAUUUUUUGCGGCCAUCUUUUUAUUAUAUCUUCAUCUAACGAUCUCAGUCUUUUCUGUUUGCGCAAUAGUUCUUCCUCUUCCUCUUCCUCUUCCUCCAUCGAAUGAAAACUACAAUAAUCAAGUACUUUGACUUAUAAGGAUGAAAUGUUUUUUUGUUUUUGAUUUUUCACCUGGUGUUCGGUAUUCACAUUGGAGCCUUGAAUAAUCCGAUUCACGCGUUGCAGGGCUCAGGGGUAGCGCUUCCAACAGAAUUUUCUCACUCAAAUCGAGACAUCUGAUUAAGGAUGAAGCAGUCCUUGAUGUUGGUACAAGGAUGAAAUGUUGGUGAUGUUCGUGAAGGCAAAUAUAAAGAGUGAAAUGAAGGUGACUUAAGUAGGGAGAAUAUGAUCACUUUUAUAUUUAUUUAAAAGAAGAACAAAAUGAAAGUAGGAAAAAAAAUUAAAAAAAUGAGAAGUUAGUUGACAAGUGUAGAAUCUUAUAAGGGAUAUGCCAAUUGGUACCUCUUAUAUUACAAAAAAAAAAAAAAAAAGAAGUUAUUUCUAUUAAUGGCCUCAUAUUCCUUUUCCACCCUUCAAUUUUUCUUAAUAGUCAUGCAGCUUUAUUUUUUUUAUAACUAUUGCAAAAAUAAUAGUAAUAUAUUUUUUAACGAAUCGGAGCAACAAAGGGUUGAAUCUCAAUGGAUCGUUGUAUGCAAAAAUAAUAAUAUGUUCAGUGAAAUUUCAUAAGAUUUGAGUGUAGAGUGUAUGUAAAUUUUACCACUAUUUUGGAGAAGUAGUUAGAUAUUUUGUUUUCAGAGGACCCUCGGUUCAAAUACAGCAAAUCCAAGUACAAGUCAUGUAAAAUAUUUGUUGUUUAAUUUAUUAUAUUAUAACAGGGUGAAAUCAUCAUUUACAAGGCGGAAUUUUAGGAGACUAAAUUAAGUAGGCGUUUGGCGAUAAAUAUUAUUCACAAUAUUUGGAAAUAUAUUUUCACUUUGUUCCAGAAUAUUUGUUUGGCCACAAAAACCAAAAACAUAUUCGGAAAUACGGUUUAACAAUUUUUUAUUUCUUGAAAAACACCUUUUUAUAAAAGAGUACAUUCAAAGUUUAAAAUAUUUUUGAAAAUAGUAUGAAAAAACACAGUUUCAACUCUUUUUUCAACUUUAAAAAUACCAAAUAAAGUGAAUAUGUUUUAAUUUUCAUGGUCAAACAAUCCUAAGUAUAAAGAACUAUUUACUAUUAAUGAAUGUGAUAGGAUGAAAAUGAAUGUAAUAUUUCUAUUCUUAAUUAGAAUUUUCUAAUUCGAAACUUAAUAUUAUAUAACAAUUAACAAAAAUACAUUCAACAAAUAUAUAUUAUUAUUCAAUUCUUAUAUUAUAAUUUCAAUAUAACUCGUUGAUCAAUAUCCUUUAAAUUAUUAGAAUAGAAUUUUAAAAAGCAUUUUUAAGGUGACAUUAAGGCUGUGCAAAAAUCAAAUCGAUCAAUAAACUGAACCGAUAAAAAUGUUAUUGGGUUAUUGGUAUUAGGUUAUCGGGUUAACGAUUUUUUAUUGGUUUUAUAUAAAAUUUUAUUGAGUAAAUGGUUCAAUAUCGAUUUUAGCUUAUUGGGUUAUCGAUUAAAACGAUAACCCAAUAAAGAUACACUAAGUUAUUGUUUUAUCUCUAUUUAUGUUAUAUAUUUAAAUAUCUCUCUCUAUAUAUAUCUCUAUCUCUAUCUAUCUAUCUAUCUAUCUAUCUAUAUAUAUAUAUAUCUUAACUAACAUUCAGUUCAAGUUUGAAGAUUCUUAUAAAAUAAAAUGCAUUGCGUAGGUUUUGACGGUAAUUAAGAUUUUAUUUUUUUAUGUUAGUUGUUACUAUUUUUAUUUUAUAAGUAUUUUCUUAUUGGUUAAACCGAAAAUCAAACCGUUAAGGACCAAAAAUCGAUAAACCGAAACCGAUAAGAAAAUAUCUUAUUAGUUGGUUAUUGAUUUUACAUAUUUAAAAAUUAAAAACCGAUAAACUAAAUCAAUAACAUGUAAAAUCGAACCGAACCGACGAAUGCACACACUAGUGACAUAAGCAGUACUAUCAGUUAGUACAUUUUUUUAUUAUGAAUCUUAGAAACUUGUACAGUUGUACUACUAAAAUAUAGUACUACUUUAAUUUGAUUGCGUAAUGCUCUUAAUAGGUCAAAUUUUUUUCUUUAUAAAAUCAAAUUGUGUUUAUUAUAUAAUUGAACUUCUUUAUAUAUUCAUAAAAAUUUAGACACAAACCCCCAUAUUUGUUUGUUUGAUGACGUUUAUUAAAUUUGAUUUUCACUCGGUAUUCGGUAUUCCGUAUUCGUAGACCAUAUUCACUCGGUAUCAUGCUCUAAAUAUGAUCUUUUAAUUAUUGAACUUGUUUUUUUUUUAAUUAAUUAACUUAAAGAUGUAUACAAAGAUAAGUAGUAUAACAUAGCUAUAUACACUCAUAGUGACGGAUGCAGAAUUUUCAUUAGGGAAGUUCGUCAAACAUUAUAUAUACAUAAAGAAAUUGAUUUUAUGUUUUGCAAGGCUUAAUUUUUUCGCGUAGACUCACUAAGUAAGGUAAGACUUGGAAACAACCUCUUAUAGAUACGCAAGGUAAGACUGCAUACAAUAGACUCUUAUAAUCGGGCCCUACGCAUAGCAAGGACUUUAGUGCACCGGACCAUCUUUUUUUCAGUGGAGAGUAGAAAGGAGGUGUAAUUUGAAAGGGAAAUAUGAAACUUGUAUUAAAUCUUGAACAACUUGAACACUCUCAGCGAAAUUCCUAACUUCGCGACAACGCCACAUUAGGGGCGUUGCUACGUAUAUCAAAGAGUGGUCGAUUCAACACCCUUUUUCGAAAAAUUAUACAGUGUAUAUAGGUCAAAUCUUUCUCAAAGUAUCAUUUCUCAUCUGAUUCUUUAUUGCCUGUAUCUUGAUUAAGUUAUUCUGACAAUAAAUUACAAUGGUAAUGUAUGUGCUAAGCUAGACUAUAUCGCUCGUACUCUGCAAAAAUGUUGCCGCACCUGUGUUAGAUCCUCGAACAAUGUAGUACUUUUGGAUGAUCUGACACGCACCUGAGGCUUUUUAAAGAGUCCGAGCAACAUAGAUUGUGCUACGUAAAGAUGUUAGGACGAAAGCGCCACAAGAAUGCUAACGAUAUUCAAGAGAACCACCUCUUUCCACUCUUAACUGCCUUUAGUUUCAUAACAAGAUCUUCCCUCUGUGCUUCUACUUCAGCAUACUUGAGACUCAUUUGAAAGUAUCGCUCGCGAAGGUCUUUUAGUUCUGCCUCUAGUAAAGACUUUGUUUGUUCGAACCUUUUCACCAUUUCACUGUCCGCGUCUAGCUUCUUAGAGGUCGGUGAAUUCCCUCUACGCUCCUCGGUCUUGAACCUACAUGCAUAAACAAGAAUAGCAGCUUAAAAAUAUGUAGCAGAAAUCCUAAGUUCUAUAUUUAUUUUAAUAAAUGACUUGUUUCAUCGACCAGACUUGGUUUCUUUGUCUCCUUAGGACUCAACGAUAAGGUGGUCCGAGCCUAUAGAACGGAUCUUAUUCAAGUAAGGAUGUUAAGUUCUAUACUGAGAUGAUGGAUCGUUUGGUAAACAUUCCGAAAGGUAGUAAAAGAUUGAUAAUUCUACCUCGACAUGUUUAUAGCUUUAAUCCUUUUUUAUCUGUGAAAACAUGACUUCAGUUUGCUCGUAUGACUUACAUUCUCUCUGGUCGUUAUAAUGAACCGAACAAGAGAUGGGACUGCAUGAUUGUACUUAGAAUGCAAAGCUUUUGUAUAGGAUGAUAUUACAUGUAAAAGAAAAUUCGGAGUUGUGUCUUAUACAUACCUUUGAAGCUGAAUUUUGUACUUCUUAUUUGACUCUAAUGCUUCAGCUAGCUUGUUCUCAAGCAACCGUAUUCUAGCCAAGUAAUCCGCUUCAACAGAAGAGACAAUUCCAUCGGAGGAACCGUUUUCACCCUGAAAGAAUAUAAGUAUUUUUAAAGAGCAACGAUGGAGUUAUAAGCAUUUGACGGGGAAAACUUGAAACUCAAAAUACCAGCGCCAGUGGUGAUAUAUUGUGCUUCCGACUAUGUUGAUCAGACUCGUCAAAAAUGCUGCCAGGUGCAUGUUGGAUCCUCCAAACAUAGUGCUCUUUGGGAGGAUCCAAUACAGGUGUGCCAACAUUCUUGGAGAGUCCGAGCAACGUAUUGCUUUUAAAGAUGAAACUGAAUAGACGAGUAAGAAAGAGCACCUCUGAAUGAAGUCGAUCCACCCGAAGUUCUUGCUUUUGAGGUGCUCUAUUGAAGUUAGUGUACUUACUGAUGCUCUUUGGAGUAUCAUUCUGUUCAAACUGCAAAUGAACAUGAAGUUUUGUUAUUCAUCCGUAUUUUAAGUUAAGCGAAAAGCAGUAAAAACAUAAAGAAAGAAUCUCGUAAUAAGCUAACCUUUUUGGCGUAUAAUUUUUUCUCUUCCUCCAUCAUUUUCACUUCUGCUUCAAGUGCUUGAACUUUCCUCAACAAGUUAUCCUUCUCCUCUUCCAUCUUGUAUAUUUUCUGCCGAUAUUGCUCGUUGUCUCUCUUAGUUUCACUAAGCUCAUUUUUCAAAUCAGCUACUUGUGCACGGAAUCUCUCCUUUUCAGCUAACUCACUUUCCAUUUGCUCGACUUUUUCUUCCAAGAAAGUUUUCUUUCGAUUGCUGUUCUCCAGAUCCGACAAGACUUUCUGUAAGUCGGACAUCUUACCAGCAAACGAGGCCUUCUCAGCCUUCUUUUCUUCACAAUCUCCGGAUAUUUUCUCCAUUGAUGCUUCUAACUUUUCCUUUUCGGACAUGCACUUUGUGAGUUUGCUCUUCAGAUUGAACACUUCAUCCUUUAGCUCCUUUGUUUUCUGCAACUGAAAUUUCAGAUUAGCACUUUCUUCAUAAAGCUUUUGAUGUUCAUAGCGUGAAAGAGUGAGCUGCAACUCAAGGUCAUUAAUGCUAGUCUUAAGCUUUUCCUCCUUUGCCCUAUAAUUUGGUAAAAGUUUCAAAAUCUUUGCAUGAUCAACCAUCAGCUUCUCAUAACUUUGUCUUGAAGCAGCAAGCUCCUUCUCAGUCGAUGUAAAUUUUGAUUGAACGUCUUCAAGUACAGAUACUAGCUUUUCUUUAUCAGCACGUAAACUGGAAACUUCAGAAGCAGCGUCAGAAGCUAAUCUCCUUUCCUCAUCCAUUUCAGAAAUUUGCUUCAUUAGUUGUUCAACCUCUUUCUCGAGUCUCUCAACUUCCAUCAUCUUCUCUGAAUAUUUUUGGUUAGACAAACUUUCUUGUUGCUCGAGUUUCUCAAUUUCGUUCUUGUUCUCUUGAAUGAGUUCGUUUAGUUCCGCAUUCAUCCUCUCCUCUUUCAAUGAAAAAUCUUUCCACAUUGAAUUGAGAUUUUCUUCUAGAGCUUUAACCUUUAUCAAGCUAUUAGACAAGCUUUUCUGUGAUUCAUGCAGUUGAGCUUCUAGCUGCACACGAAGCUCAUACUGUUCCACGUUCUUUCUUUCAAGUAGAUUCCGCAAAGAUUCUUGCAACUUUUCAUUCUCGUUCAUGAGUCGUGCACAUUCUUCUCGAGCUUGUGACCAUAGGAUCUGCAUGUCUUUUAAUUCUUCUUUGAGAUCAGCAAUGCUUGUUUUCGUCUCACUAUCCAACUUCCCCAUUUCUUCUUGAAGAUUCAUUAUGAUAGUCCUGGAUUCUUCCAAUUCUGAUUGACGAGAUUCUUCCUCAACAGUAAUGAGCCUAAUUUUUGCUUCCAUAUUUUCGUUCUUCUCAGUCAAUCCUACUAACCGAUCCUCCAAUGUAUGUUUCUCACUUUCGAGCUGAGCUAGUUUGCUUUCCAGAAGCUUGUUCUCAGAAACCCGGGCAUCCAAGCAACUAGAGGUGAUGGCACUUUCUCUCGAGAUGAUUUUCAUGUUUUCUUCCACCUGAUCCCUUUCCAUUUGAAGACCAGCUACUUUACUUUCUAGUUCUCUUUGAUGCUCCAAAAGGCGGCUUUUCUCCUCUUCAUGUCUUUGUAACUCAGCCUGUAGCUUAUCUUUUUGAUCCAACUCUUUUAGAUGACCGGAACAUUGAAUUUGUUGUUCUUCCUUUGAGCUCUCAUGUGCUUGAACCUCAAGACUGUAAGCUUCGAGCUUUCUAUUCCUCUCCUGGAUCUCCUGUUCGUGCUGUUUAAGACAUUCCUCGCAUUCAACAAAUCUUGUUUCUAAGAGAUUGUUCAGGUCAUACAGAUUCGUAAGGACACAGUCGGUUGUCAAUAGUUUUGAAGAUAUUGCAACGUCCUCGCUCAAAAUUGCCAAGUUUUCCAGGUGAUGUUUGCACUGAUCACUAACGCUGGAAGAAAGUUGACUCCACGGUCUCUUUAGAUGGUGGAAAGCUACUUCAAGUUGCUUCACUAAUUCAAUGGACUUUUCGGAGUUUUCAAUUUCACCAACUUUUUCCACAGGUGUCCGUGUGCGUUCACUACCGGACUCCUUAAACUUGAUGAGAAGGUCCAGGUUUUCCUCAGUAAGCUCAGCACAAUCCCUCUCGAGCUCUUGUACUUUCUCUCGUAAUGCUUCAAUCUCUCUUACUAGCUCAGUGCUAGCUUUCUCGGAGUGUCCAUUCUCCGUCUGUCUGUUCAUUCUCCGUUCACUCUCAAGCUCAUGAUUUUCGUCUUGUAACGACUUUUUGAGAGAUUGAACACUUCUUUGAAAUGACUCUUCCUUGCAAUGCCCCUUCCGAUUCAUCCUGUUCUCGUGAAUCUUCUGCCGUGUCAGCUAACCUCAGAUGCAGAGAUGAAAAUUUCUCUAUUUCCACUUUCUGCUGUUCGAUAGUUUCUUCCAGCUCCUGAAGAAGCGAGAGGAGCUCGAUGUUUGAUUCUUGACUUCCUUUCAGUUGUAACGCUAAACUAGCAUUCAACUCCUGCUGAUGUCUUAUUUCAUUUUCCAGUUCCUCCUUCUGACCUCUCGGUUGAAAUAUCGAAUCCUCUCCCAUAUCGCGUUUUUCUGUUGACUUCUCCAACAUUAGUUUGAGAUUCUCGAUCUCUCUUUUCAAGGUACCUUGCUCCGAAUAGGCAGCUGAGAGAUCCAUCACCAAGUCUGCUUGCUUUUUCGACUGAGACGUGAAUUCCUCUCUCAGUAUGUCCAAAUCGAGCAUAAGCUUCCGAGCAUUUCUCUCCCACAUCUUGGCUUCUAUUCGGAGUUCUUCAAUCGUAUCUUCUGCAGCCUCCAGAAGGUUUCUCGAAGAGCCUGAAUUCGUCACAGAAGACGCUGUGAAAUCUUUUCUGGCUUUCGUAUUGUAUGAUGAUUGAUUUGAAACAGUUUGAUCAUCGAUGAACUGAUCAUUCUGAGGUGAAGUAUGGUCAGGACUUGCUCUAACUUGUUUCGAUCCUCCAUUCUUUAAGUGAUUUCUGGAGGGAAGCUUUUCUUUUCGCGUAAAACUCUCAGCUGAGCUAAAGCUGUCAUUUGAUCCGGAUGCCGAGAAACUUUUAUCCUGAAAUGAAAUGAAGGGGUGAUUAACCACACAAGACACUGGAUGUACAUUAGAAUUCACUACUUUUAAACUGAGUUCAGUACAACACAGAACAGAAAAUUUUUGUAUCGUCUGAAAUCCGUCUAAUGUAGUGAGAAGGUGAUAAACAAGAUCCAAGCUAUGUUGCUCGGACUCUCUAAAAAUGGUACCACAUCAGUAUCAACGUACUUCUUGAUGAAGGAAUAUCCCAUAGGCCAACACCAAUAGACUAUGUUGCUCGGACUCUCUCGGUAACUCCAAAGAAGUACUACAACCACUAUUUUUGGAGGAUCCGACACACUAUUUUUGAAGAGUCUAAGAAACAUAGCUAAUAUAAGCACAUUCAAAUGAUCGAAGGCAAAAGAUUGAAUCAUAGAUACGGAAGGUCUAGUCUAAAAUAGUUAUGCACUGAUUGAGAUUUGAUCUUAGACGAAAUUGAUCCUGAAAACUGUAUCCGAAAUAGAUUUCAAAUGAAUCUACAUUAGGUUACAUUCGUGAGAAUCAUACUUCCAAACGAGGAUGCGUGAUAUCCAGGCUUCCCAACUCACAUAAAUGUUCUGGUUUACCUAUCAGAACUGUUCGAAAGUUCAGUACUUAAAGGUUCAUAUGGGAUCUGUUCACCAGACUAAGUAAGCUCAGAUAAUAUAAUUGGCGUAUGACUAUAAUAACAACAGCCCGGUGAACAAAGUAUCCCACGUUCAUACAGGAUUGAAUGAAGGGCAGCAUCACAAAGGAUUGUGAUGUAACAAGCCUAAGCUGAUGCAAGCAUCAUUAGUUGAUUUCAUGGCUCGAACAUGUGUGACCUAUAAGUCAUACGUAGACAGCUUAAUCGUUGCAAGUUACUAAAUCGGAAGGCUAACAAAAGAAAUAAGCAGGUUUUGUCAAGUUCAGCAUAAUACAGUAAAAAUGGAUAAAAAAUUUGCAUUAGUACCUUGAUCUCAAAUUUGCUUGGACCUGGGUUCGAGCCGGGAUCAUAUGGAAGCACAUCACUCCCAGCGGAGAAGUUGCCAGACUCGUUCGAUUUACUGUCAACAUUGUGAUCUAAACCAUGCUCUUUCAUACCAGAAUGUGAAGAAUUUGGUUCAUCUCUGAAAGUAUAUAAAGAAUAUUUAGUUGAAGGGCGAUUCACUUUUACUUUAUUUAGUAUGAUGAAGAAGUGAGGAUUCAUAUAGUCGACCCCGACAUAGUUAAAUUAUGACCGGGAAUACUUGGGAAUUUGACUGUUUUCUUGAUACCUGAAUUUACUCCUUGGUGUUAGGCAGUGAAUUUUCACCUGUAAAACAAGAUUGACAAGAAUUUAUGUUAACAAAAAGUUGAAGUUUUUACGUGGUCCAAGUUUCUAGCUAUGUUGCUCGGACCCUUCAAAAAUGUUGUCGUACCCAUGUUGGAUCCUCUAAAAGUGCCUAGCUUUUGAAGGAUCCGACAUACAUCCAGUGGUCCUUUCUAAGAGGACGAGCAACUCUUAGAAAGGAAGUUGGCGGGGAAAAUAUUGACUUAUCGAUCAUAAGACUUGCCUGUAGUGUUGUUCCGUGAUUGCAUUUCUUUAAAGGAAGCAAAACAGGAGAAGACAUUCUUGAACCAACAUAUGAUGCUAGAUUAAUUGUUCCCUCUCCGAGUAGGCCUGAUCUCGCAGAGCCCUGUGUUGAAGGAGAAAUUAAGAAACACGAUAGACAAGUCAUCUUGAAAGUUCGAGACCUCCCUUAAACUUGACAUGUUUUAUUCGACGCACAGUGAACUUUUCCUAGUCCUAAUUACCCCCGCGAACUUGGCAAAGUCAAUUUCACGCCUAAAAGAAGAGUAUUCAUCUUCUUUGCCAAGUUCAGGGAACGUUUGCACUGAAUAAAACGUGUCAAGUUUAGGGGAGUUGCGAGGUAUUCAAGUGAGAUGAGCUUAAAACGACACUUGUUAUGCCAUGUAUUACUGUCGAUGAAGCAAGGACUUUGAUCAUACCAUUGAAACAACAAACUUGUAGAGAGAUUCUUCGAGUUCCAUAGAAGAAUCAUCUUGUGAAAUCCACACGGACUCCAAAAGUGUCUCUGGCCACUGGCAGCUUCCGCUUUUCACAAGCGUUUUGCCUAGCUUCGCCACUGUCUUUCCAGUUUCUACACAGAUUACAGACAACGAUAGCCUGUCCCAUCCUUUCGGUACCUAUCUCAUUACAACAUUAAAUCAACUGUCAGCGACCAUUUGUAUCUCUCCUGCAUUCUUAUAUCGACAAGCUAAAUGAAACCACACAUUGGAGCUCUUUAGUACAAUUAAACAAACUAAAACAACAGCAUUUGGGGGAAAAUAGAAAUCCGUAAGCAUUAUAUCAGAUUAUACGCUGGUGCAAGUUGGAGGAAAGGUUGACCGCGCCAAUGAUGCUUAGCUGGUCUUUACGGAUGAUCAGCCAUGACGGAAGCAUCCUUCAAUGAACUCGUGACAAUGUGGGAGGAAACUGCUGCGUCCAGACUUUAUGUAGCUCAGACUCUUCAAAAAUACAGUUGGGGUGUGUCGGAUCCUUCAAAAAGUUAAGCAUUUUGGCAUGAUCCAACAAGGGCGCGACUACACUAUUGGAGGGUCCGAGCAAGAUAGGUUCCAGAACACUACGAAAACUUGUUAUAGACAAAAUCCUUUGUAAAAAUACUACACAUCCCUUGGCUCAAAGUUUUCAAAAUCAAUCUUCUUCGGUUUUCGUUUACUUAUGAAUUAAGUUACACAGAAACUAUACAAUCAUCAAAUAAUCACACAUAAUAUCUAAAAAGGGCAGCCCAGUGCACUAGAGCUACCACUAUGCACAGUGUCCGGGGAAGGGCCUCACCACAAGAGUGUAUCGUACGCAGCCUUCCCUUGCAUUUCUGCCAAAGGCUGUUUCCAAGGCUUGAUACAAGUCAAGAUCACAGUAAAGUUUUCCGUGAACAGGAGGUCACGUGUUCAAGCCUUGGAAACAGCUUCUGGCAGAAAUACAAGGUAAGGCGGCAUACAAUACACCCUUGUGGUGGGGCCCUUCCCCGAACACCGUGCAUAGCGGUAGCUUAGUGCACCGGGUUGCCCUUACAAGUCAAGAUCACCUAUUUUAGCUCAACCAUUAACAACCAUCCUAUCACUGGAUGAUCGAUCACAUAUCGAUCAUCCUUCUUAUGAACAUGAUGAUCAACUACAGUGUCAAGCCAGGUGCGGAGCAACAGUUCUGCUUAGUAUGUUGGCAGAACUCAGUAGCUUUGGCUCAAACCGUUUAUGUGUUUAAAAAUGUAGUUAUAUGGACAGUAAACUCUCGUUUUUAGAAUUCAUAACCCGUAAACUUAAAGUCCUUGUUCCGCCUCUGACUAUGUUAUCGAGAUAUUACCAAUAUGCUAAUGCAAUUCAGAUAUUUUAUUAAAUAAAAAGAACCAAUAGAACAAAGCUAAGCCAGUAACAAAAACUGAAUCAAGAACAUCAACUUUCUCUAAGUUUUGUAUCAUCCCAAUGAUAAAGCUACAGUCUUUAUUUAAAAAAAAAAACAAGUGUUAAUUACAAAUACAACACAACAAUCAGUCACUGUUGAAUACCAGUAGAGCUGUGAAUACGGGUUGACUCAGCCCAUCCGGGCUAAGUCCAUAUGGGCUUUGGAGUUUGAUGGGUCGGGCUGGGCUGACUCAUCAACAUGAUGGGCGGAAAAUAGCAAGCCCAAUCAAUCACACUGUGGGCUGCGGGCCUUCACGGGCCAACCCACUUUUAAAAUAUAUUAUUUUUAUAAUCCUAAUUUAAAUUUUAAAUUGUUAAUUACAUAAAUAUUUACAACAUAAUAUUACAUGAAGCUACUACUUGUUAAUCAAGUAUCAAAUUUAUAAAAAAAAAUGUAGCAUUGUUCCUAAACAACAACGACAAUAUAUUCAGUUUAAUCUCAUAAGUGCGGUCUGGAAAGAAUAGUGCAUACGUCACCUUGUAAAAGUAGAGAGACUGUUUCCGAUAGACGCUCGACUCAAGAAAAACAUUUCAAAGAAGUUUUGGAAAAAGAAAACACGUAAGCGCGAUAACCAAAGUACAACAAACAACGUAUAGUAACAGAAAUCGAAGAACAAGAAACUACGAAGAGAAAAGUACCUGAAGUACUUGGAAAUUGGAAAAUCUGAAAUCAACCCUUUCACCUGAUUUUUCCUGCUUAUUAUUUUGCUUAUGUAACUUGUACAUUUUUCUCUUUAUCACCUUAGUGAUUAUAUUUUCUUGAAAUGUGAUAUAAACAAUAAAAUGACACUAAAUUUGAAAAUACAAUAAGAAUCAAAAAUGCAUUUGAAGGACCAAAAAGAAAAUAGAGAAGUUAGUUAGUUGGUUGGUCUUUAUUUAUGAACUUGUCAUGGGGUGUAACAUUGUUUUCUAUCAUUGUGUUUAUAAUUUAUUAUAAGUUAAGUAAUUUGUGUUGUUUGACACUCAAAUAGAAAGUUGUCUUGUAAUAGUACAUUCCCUUUUUUUUUUUUUUUGGUUUUUUGUCCGGUGUUUGGUAUCCUCUUUUCGACUCAACUAGGGGAAGGAGCGGAGUUGGGUAGGGCCGAGGCAAUUUUUUUUGGUUUUUUGUUUGGUGUUUGGUAUCCGCUUUUCGACUCGAUUAAGGGCAGAAGCGGAGUUCGGUAGGGCAGAGGCGAUUUUUUUUGGUUUUUUGUUCGGUGUUUGGUAUCCGCUUUUUGACUCAACUAGGGGCAUGAGCAGAGUUGGGUAGGGCCGAGGCGAUUUUUUCUGGUUUUAUGUCUGGUGUUUGGUAUCUGUUUUUUGACUCGACUAGGGACAUGGGCGGAGUUAGGUAGGGCCAAGGCAUUUUUUUGGUUUUCUGUCUGGUGUUUGGUAUCCGCUUUUCGACUCGACUAGGGGCAGGAGCGGAGUUGGGUAGGAGCGAGGUGGUUUAUCUGAACCCCUUUGGCGAAAAAUUAUAGUAUUGUUUAUACUUUAUUAAAUUUAUUUUUAUGUAUAUAUAAUAGAUGUUUACGUUGCAUAUUUGGACAUGUUCAGUGAAAAUUCUGCUUCAACCAAUGACUAGGUGCAUAACCUAAUGGUUUUGAUUCAAAUCGUGUAUUAAAUAAAUUUCUUAAAGACAAAUCAAUAAUGUUUAAAUAUUAUUAAUUUAGAACGAUAACUCAAAAGGAACUAAACUCUCAAAUCAAUAAUCUUUAAAUUUUGACACCGCUUCAAGAUGAUUAAUCUGAAUUUGCAUCGAAAAAUUCUCUCCUCUUAAAGUACUUCUCAUUAAAUAAAACUUAAUUUUUAAAGCUCGAACUCGAAACAUCUCGUAUUAAUAUCAAUGGGUUGUCUUGUAGUUAUUAAAAUUGGUUUUAAAAAUAAAUCAUUCCACUUUUUAACAAUAUUUUUUACCUAACAAGAAAAGGAGAAAUAAAGAAAUGAUCAUUUAUGUGUCUAUCAACCUUAUAGGGUGGGUAAGCUGAACUUUGAAGGCAAGAAAAGAGUUUAAUUUCCUUUUACAUAAAUUAUUUUUUUCUUUUUUUUAUUUGUUUGAAUGAGAAAAAAAAAUACUUUUUUUUCUUUCUUCAAUUAGAAAAUUAUCUCUCUCUAUUUAUUUUUUUUGUAAUAUCUUUUGCAAAAAUGAGAUUUUAUUUAUGAUAAGAGAGUUUGGUAGGAAGUUACAAAAUAAAAUAACAAUGUUACAACUUAAGACGCAUUAAAGGGAAGAAAAAAUUUAAUUAGAAAAUUAUCUAUAUAUAUAUUUUUUUGUAAUAUUUUUUGCAAAUAUGAGAUUUUUUUUUCCUGAUGGGAAAAUUUGUGCCUGUUAUUUUCCAUAUUUAUUUUUGAAAAGAGAGUUUGGUAGGAAGUUACAAAAUAAAAUAACUACGUUACAACUUAAGUUAGCAUUAAAGGAAAAAAUAAAAAGCUAUGGAGAGGGCAAUAAUAAUUACCUCACAUAGAGAGUUACAAAUAUAGUUAUACAAUUAAAGUAAAAUAAAAGUAUAAUAUGAAUUAGGAUUAUACCUUGUUUUAUAAUUGAGCAUGACAUUAUGAAUAUCUAUUAUACAAGUAAAUAUUUAAUUGAGAUAUUAGUUUUAAUCAAGUGCAACAUACUAGUAAAGUUGUUGUAACGAUUAGGAGAUCACGAGUUCAAUCUAUAUAAAUAAUUAUUUAUAAAAAUAUAAAAUAAGACUGCAUUCAAUAAAUUUUUAGGUUCGACUUUUUUUAAAUCCCGCAUAUAGCGAGAACUUAAUGUACCGAAUCGUCCUUUAUUAAAUUUAAUCAAGAGAAGCAUUGAUAGUAAUGAUAUGUUCUAUACUAUGUGAUUAUAAUAGCUGUAAUAAUUUGUAUUGUGUUGGCGAUAAUUUCUAUUUUUCGUUGAGAUUUAUAUUUUAAUAUUCCCUGUCUUAGUAUGUCAUUUUCUCUUUAUGAAUUAAGCAAUAUAUAUAUAUAUAUAUAUAUAUUUGUCUGUUCUUUCUUCAUGUACGAUGACGUUAGCGGCGGAGCUAUAAUUUUGCUUACGAAUUUGGUAAAAAUUAAGUAGGUUUGACUCAAAUUUUGUAUUUGGAUUAAAAUUUAUUUUAAUGUGUAUAAAUGAUUUAUCAAGAAAUCAAUAAGUUGCGUUUAAUAUAAUUCAGAGUCCAUAAACUCAAAUUUUUUAGUUUCACUUUUAAAUGACAUGAAUUUUCAUUUCAUGGGUUAGGUUUAUCGAAAAUAGUUUAUGUAUACCCCAAAUGAUAAGAGUAAGAUCCAUCUACGUACAUCCUACUCUUUUCAGAUUUCAUUCGAUAUUCCAUAUUUAUGUUGGAGUCCCGAUUAAUUCGAAUCGAUGGUGUAAAGCCUAUAUUUUUAAAGUAGAAGCAUUCCUAAUAGCUUUUUUUUUAUAUAUAUAUACGAGAACUCAAAUUCAAAAUCUUUGAUUAAAAAUAAAGUAACUGGUUGCUGUAUCGAAUUUGAAUCUUAACCAUAAACGAUUCAUGAUAGUUGACAUUCAUAAUAAUUUACCUAAUUCAUCUGUUUUUUUUUUUUUCGGUUUUUCACCCGGUGUCCGGUACUCAUAUUAGAGCCCCGGUUAAUCCGGAGUAUUGCGCGUUGCAGGGUCCAUUAAGAGAGUAGUGAUCCCAACAGAAUUUUCUCCAUACUCAGAGCUCGAACCCGAGAUCUCUGGUUAAGCGUGGAGCGGUCCCACAAUUGCACCCCAACCCAUGUUGGUACCUAAUUCAUCUUCAUCAUACAUCAUUAGGUUUUAAUCUCAUCAUAAGUCCAUGUUGUUAAUUAAUCAACAAUCAAAAAAUAUACUAUACAAAGACUAGCUUUGUGUAUAUAUUACUUAUAAAUUUGUUAUAUAUACCAUCAAGCAACAUCAUUAGCCAUAAUGCUGGUGGCCAGAGUUGGAGACUUGAAGAUUAAGCCAAAUGUGAAACCAUUUCUCAUUGGUUUUGUCUUUGUGGGGGUGGGGGUGGGGAGGGGUGGAGGGGUGGGGAUAGAUCUAGGUUCAAAAAUGUGGUGCUCCGACACACGUUAAAUUCGACGCGGAAUAGAUAUAAUUAUAUAAGAAAUGUAUAAAAAUUGGUAUAAGAUGAAAAAAAACACUCAUGGUUCAAAAAUGUGGUGCUCCGACACCCGUUAAACUCGAUGCAGAAUAAAUAUAAUUAUAUAAGAAAUGUAUAAAAAUUGGUAUAAGAUAGGAAAAAACACCCAUGGUUCAAAAAUGUGAUGCUCCGACACCCAUUAAACUCGAUGCGGAAUAGGUAUAAUUAUAUAGGAAAUGUAUAUAAAUUGGUAUAAGAUGGAAAAAAACACCCGUGAAACCAAGAAGAUAACUGGGUACUUUGAUUUUCAGGCGAAGUCUUAAAGCUGUGGUGUUAAUAUGUGUGUUUGAACCUCCCGAGCAUCCACGAUCCUUAAAUCUUGGGUUUGGGNNNNNNNNNNNNNGAGGAGGGGGGGUGAGUAAGCAAGCAAGCCAAAAAAAAAAUAGUAUAAAGUUUCCGCUAUGUGCAGGAUCCGGGAAAGAAUCCGACCACAAUGGUCUAUUCUAUACAGUCUUAUCUUACAUUUCUGUCAGAGGAGGAGAUAAACGAGCAAUUAAAGUUGAAUUUACGCAGAUUAAAAUAGACUAAAUUAAUAAAGUAUAAAUAACAUAAAUACCAACCCUUUUAGAAGUAAUUACACUCUCUCCCACUUUUUUAAUUACUUUACUGUCUCUCCCUAUUAAUAUAUAUAACAUAGCCGACAUAUACAUAGCAUUCUGUGUAUAGGUUGGGAUUUUUGUAAUAUAUUUAGGGAGUUGAAAUUUUUUGUAAUAUUGGAAACAUAAGUUGUGUAUUUGUGUAAUUUUUAGAUUAAUAAAUCAAUGAAUUAUAAAUCCGCUCAAAAGUUAUUUGAUUAAGAGGGAGAAGCAAUCAAUUAUAACUCAAUUCAUAAACUUUUACCAAAUUUUAAUUAAUUAAUUUAUUUAUUAUGAUUUGUUUAAUUAUCUAGUAAAAGUUUUAUCUAUUCUUAGCAUCUUUGCCAAAACAAGGAAGAAAAUAAUGGUAUUUUGAUUAAAAUACUUUUAAUCAUGAUAUUCUUUUUUAUGUUGAUAUUUAUUUUACAAUUAAGUAACAAUAAAUUAUUUUAAAAUCUUGUUAAUUACGAACUAUUUAGUAAAAACUUAACGAGGAAUUCAUAAAUAAUUCCAUUUUUUUAAAAGUGAAUGUGGAACUUUCUUAUUAUAUAGUUCCUAAUUAGAUAAUAUAAUUGUAUUUGCUUUAAGACAAACUAAUUAAAUUAUAUAGCUACAUGCGUAUAAAUGUAAUAAUAAUUUCACGUGUUUAACUUCAGAGUGCACAUUAAGAAAAUCUCAUUAAUCUCAUAAGUUAAGGAUGUGUUCGGUACGAAGGAAAAUGUUUGUUACAGUAUAUAAGUAAAGAAUAUUAUCUUUAAAAUAGUAAGAUAUUUAACAGAGUUUCAUAGAUCGAUAUAUUGAUGUGCAUAUCUAUUUUUGGGAAUUCAAAAAUUCACAAUUUCUACCAUUUUGUCCGUUUGAUUUGAAAAAUGGCUCUAACGGCCCCAUCAAACCAACCAGAUCACCGAUUGCAUUAAAGUAUCUACGAUAUGCACAGUUCCAAGAAGAGACGAACCCCACAAAGGUCGAUUGUAAACCUUGUAGAGCAUUAAAAUGCACACUACACGCAGGAUCCCAAUAAGGACAAAAACCCCCACAAGGGUGUGUUGUACACUUUGUAUUUCUACAAGAGGUUGUUCUAUGGCUUAAACCCUUGACCUCUUGGUCACAUGACAACAACUUUAUCAUUAAAAUGCACACACUAUAUGCAGGUCGCGAUAAGGAGAAAACCCCCCACAAGGCUUACACUUUGCAUUUCUGCAAGAGGUUGUUUCCACAGCUUGAAACCCUGUCACAUGACAACAAUUUUAUCAGUUACUUCAAAACUCCCAAUAAAAAUCAACGUCCGUGGGGAUCAAACCCACGUGCUAAUAGUGUAAAAUAGUUUGUACGAUUUGUUUUUAUAUAACUUAAAGCAUAUUCAAGUUUAAAUCUCCUUUUAAUAUAUUUACAUCGUUACUUGGUGCUUAUUUGUAAAAAUAACAUAAACAUAGACUUCAACUUGUCAUAUUUACACAAAUUUCCACCCUUACAAAAUAAUUACAAAAAUCCCAACUAAUUAUGUAUCUUCGUUAGAUGUAUCGGGAGCUAAUUAUGUAUCUUGACAAAACCAAAAUUGAGUUUUUCUGUAAUUAUACAAAAUGUCAGAAGUUUCUUUAAUUAAGCUCCAAACUAUCGGGAUUUACAUUGUUUUACCUUUUUCUUUUGGGCUUUGUUUGUGGAUACAUAGGUGGCAUUGGCAUCAAAAUAUGGGCCUUAUACAGAGGAAAUAAGACAUGCCCAAUUGAGGAUUCAACUUCAAAAUGUGAAAACUAUUGAUGCUAAUGGGCUCAAAGUAGGCCCAGAUUUUGUGCAUCUUACUACUCCAUUAGAGGUCCAACUUGGACAAAUGUUUGGCUAAGGCCUUUUUGGAGUUUGGUUCAGAUCCAGCCCAUAAUUCUUUGGAGGAAUUAUAGGAAAAAUAACAUAAGUAUACACAUUAACUUAUCAUAUUUAUACAAAGUUUUAUCUUUAUUACGUAAUUACAAAUUUUUUAACUAAUUACGUAUCUUUGUUGGAUAUCAAGAGCUAAUUAUGUAUCACGACAAACCCAAAAUCGAAAAAAAUAUAUCAGGAGCUAAUUAUGUAUCUUUACUAGGAAAAAAUGUAUCUUCGUUGGAUAUAUUAUUUAUCUCGACAGAUUCAAAAUCAAUAAAAUUGUUUCAAGAUCUAACUAUGUAGCUUUAAAAAGACAAAAUGUAUCUUCAUUGGAUGAAUUAUGUAUCUCAACAGACUCAAAUAAAAAAAAAAUUUAUCGAGAGGUAAUUAUGUAUCUUUACAACGGAGAUAAAUGUAUCUUCAGUGAAUGUAUCCAGAGCUAAUUAUGCAUCUCGCCAGACUUCAAAUUGGAAUUUUCAGUAAUUAGAUAAAAUAUCAAAAUUUUUUGUAAUUAAGCUCCAAACUGUCGGGAGUUGUGUUGUUUAUAUACAAAAGGAAAUGAGCUAGAUUGGCCCAAUGUACUGAAACAUGGGCCCAUUUACUUGGUCUAAGGCCCAGGUGAUUAGGUCACUGAAAACCAAGACCCAAACUAAACCAAUGCUUUUAUUUUAGGAAAUUUUACACCAUAUACUAAAAAUAAUAAUUGAACGAGUGUAUAAAUUGUAUCCUCGAUUUUGAUAUUUGUGCGGAACUUACCGCAUAAAGUUUCAUAAAAAUAAGUGGACUAAAAUAUUCUUACGUUGAGCGGUAAAUAUGCAUAAUAAAAAAACGUCGGUAAGCGGAAUCAAAAUCACCUAACAAUGGGAUGAAGUCAUGACAGACCUGUAUGAAUUCAUGCUAUACAACCUACUUGUUUAAUUGAAUUAGUCACAUAUCAUGACGUAUCAUCAUAAUUUCAGAAACAGCUUAGGACACAUAUAUGACUUUGUUCUACGAGCAAUGUAACUGUCUUGUUGAAUUACUCACAAAUUAUAGUAGAUCAUCACGACUAUAUGCAUAUAGUCAUAAAACAUAUAUGCUUUUUUGCAAAUAUAAAAACAAGAUGUACAAAAAGAGAAACAGACAUUACAUGCUUUUCUUUAAUUUCAAUAUAGACAAAUACAAAAGAAAAAUUCAAAAUAAAAACUAUGUAAAUAAAUACAAACCUAAGAUGAACUAGGCAAUAAAGGAUCUAUUUUUUCUUGUUUUUUCUUUAAAAAUGAAAUAAUCCAAUAAAGUCCCCCUGCUAAAAAUAAACUAAAAAACCAAGCAUUAUUGUAAAUUAUUGCAAAUGAUUUUGGAAUUGAAUCCAAAAUCCCAACAUUUUGCAAAAACCCUGGAAUUACUGGUAAAAUCCCAAUAACCAAAGCCAAAAUUGCUCUUAAAUUGUAUCCACUUGAGUAAUAAUAUACACCAUUUGGACUCAAUGUAUACAAAUCUUGUAUACUUAAAUUCAUCCUUUGAAUUAAGUAAUAAUCAACCAAAAUUAUUCCCAUAAUUGGUCCCAACAAUGCAGAAUAUCCAACUAACCAAGUGUACACAAAACUUUCACUUGAUUUUAACAACCUCCAUGGUUGACAAACGAUCCCUAACAAUGCUGUUAAAAUUGCACCUCUUCUAAAAUUGAACCAUGAAGGGCUAAGAUUGACUAAGGCAUUAGCCGGCGCGACGACAUUGGCUGCUAUAUUUGUUGUAAUUGUGGCUAAGCUAAUGCCAAAUAUGGCUAACACCAUUGUCAACAAUCCACCAAUUUCACCUAAUAAUGUUAUAGGGUUUGAUAUUACAUGACCAAAAAUCACUUUAGUUGAAGAUGUAACAGCCAAGCCAACAAAUGUAAACAACCCCAUAAAUAUUGGUAACCCUGCUUGGCCUAUAAUUUGGUCAUGUUGGCUCUUGGCAUACCUAGUAAAAUCAGGUAUGUUAAGUGCUAAUGUAGCCCAAAACCCUAUAUUUGCAGUAAGUGAUGGGAAAAAAAGUGACCAAAAUUCUAAAUUUGUAAUUCUUGAUGACAAAUCUAACAUAUGACCAAAUCCACCAGCCUUAACAUAAGCCCAAAUAAGUAAACAACAAGUAAGUGAAAUCAAUAUUGGUGCUGAAUAUUUUUCCAAUUCUCUAAUACCAUCUAUACCUUUCCACACAAUUGCCAAUUGUGCUAUCCAAAAAGUUAUAAAACAUGCAAAUUCAAGUGGUGAAGUGCCAAGCCAAGAAAUUGAUUGUGACAAAGAUGAGGUCUUCACAACUUUAGGUAACAAUAGAAAAAUUGCUUCACCACCAAUCCAUGUUUCAAUACCAUACCAACCACAACCAACUAAAGCUCUAAGUAAUGUAGGUAUAUGUGCACCUUUAAUCCCAAAUGAUGAUCUAGCUAAAACAGGAAAUGAUAUACCAAAUUUUGUACCUGGUUGACCUAUCAAUAUAAGUGGUACUAAAGUUACCAAAUUGGCUAACACAACUAUUGCAAUACCUUGCCACCAUGACAUUCCAAGAUCAACUAGACUACCAGCUAGGUAAUAUGAGGGCACCCCAACAACUAGUCCAAUCCAUAAACUAGCCAUUUCCCAACCUGAAAAGUUACGUUGAUCGAUCGUCGUCGGCUUGAGAUCAUCAUUUGUAAGGCUAGGAUCAGGAUGAAAUUCAUCAAAUUGACUUGAUGACAUUGGAGCAAGCAUGUUGUUGUUGUUACAUUUUUUGUGAAAAAUAGUGUGUACAUUAGUACUAGUACUAGGACUAAUACUAGUAGUAGUUAAGGUUGUUGGGAUUGAAGACUUUCUAAGGGGAUAUAGACAUUUUGGUUUUGUGAAAAUUGCAUGGUGGGGAUGAACAUGAUGAAGAUUGAACAUUAAAGAUUUGGACAACAUGAUUUUGAAUGAAAAAACAAAAGAUUCAAUAAAGAUUGAAUAAUUGAAGGCUUAUUAGGAUAAAAGAUGAGUGGUGGAAAUUGACAAUAGUCUUUUAUUAUGUCACUCUCAUACAUAAGGGUGUGUUUGUUAUGGAAGAGACUAGAAUACAUUUUCUCUCAGAAAACAAUAACAACAACAUAACCAGUGUAUUCCCAUCAAGUGGGGUUUGGGGAGCGUAAAGUGUACGCAGUCCAUCCCACUACCUCAGAUGAAGUAGAGAGGUUGUUUCCGAUAGACCCCCGGCUCUUUUCUCUCAGAAAACGAGUUCCUUAAAAAUGAGAAAGAUAAUUUUUCUAAUGAAAGUAGAAAAAAUAAGUUUCAUAAGCGACAUUUCACACUGAUUGUCUCCUCCCGCGAUCCAACACACCCCCACCAGUGGCGAACCCAGGAUUUAAGGGUCGUGGGUGCUCGGGAGGUUCGAACACAUAUAUUGACGUUAAGGUUCUGCCUGAAAACCGAGUGUUUUUCUAAAUCUUAUGUUAAUUUUUAUAAUGGGUGUCGGAGCAUCAAAUACUCGGUUAUAGAUCCGCCCCUGACCCCACCUACAUAGGCAGAGUGUAAGAAGGGUGGUUCGGCAAAACUAAAUAAGUUUGGUUCAAACCCUGUAUUUAUCUUUAAAAUUCAUUUGAUAUGUAUAAAUUAUUAAAUUAUAACUCAACUCAAGUAAGCUAAAAUCUUGACUCAUAAGGUUUAUAUAUAUUAGCUCCGCCUCUGAUUCUAGAUCAUACUUUUUGUCUAUCAAACACUAGAAAAUAGAUUAAUAAGAGAACUACUUAUUUUCCAGAUCAUUUUUUGUGGAAAACUUUUUCGACAUACCAAACACACCCUUAGUUAAUUUUCUUUUUCAAAUAACAGUUGAUAUAAUUAAAGCAUUAAAAUUAAAAUAACUUCAACUAAACGCUAAUUAAGAUCUCUAAGAAGUCAAAUUUAACUACCAAUAAGGUGGAACGUGAGAAUGAUCUCUAAACUUGGAUCUUGAUUCUUGAAUAUCAUAUUAUAAAAUUUGCUUUCAAUUAUUUUCUUAUUAUUUAAUUGAAUUAUUAAGGUCAUUGAUUAGUUAAAUCAAGCUGGCAAAAAUAUUUGACAACUAGCAACAUGUGUACUACAAACAUGUUAUCGAUAUGAGUUGUGAUGGGAUGGUUAGGAUCUUUUGAUAUUUAAUUAGAAGUUUCGCGUCCAAGUCGUUGGAAAAUGAAAAAUAUUUGUUGGAGUGCGAUCCCGCAAAUGAGUCUUGCAAUGCGCGAACCUAAAUUUAGUCGAGUUUCAAUACAAACAAAUACAGCAGCGAAGAAUAGGGACAUGCAAAAACUGAACCGACCGAUAAAUUGAACCAUUAAAAAUGUAUUUCUACUUAUAUAGAGAAAUUAGAAAAAGAAACAACAUAUUAACUAAAAAACGUAAUUUAGAAGGAGGCCAAAAAAGGCUACUAAAAGUUAAUAGAAAAUAUAAAGUUUAUUAUAACGACUUAUUAAGUGCAGUAAAUUGGGAGAUACAAGGUUGUAAGAGAGACUUAGAAAAUAGUACUUCAGCCAUAAAGUGACUUAGAGAACGCAUUAACAGAAAAGCUUAUCAGUUAGGAUAAUAAAUGCCAAUUAGAUAUAUUGAGUUUAUACGAGAAAUUCAAAGUCAAUAUUACAGAGAAUUUAUAUAUAAACAUCAACUUGUAAAAAUUCGAAAACAAUUUGUAGAAAGAUUAGAGCUGUUAAAUAAAGAAAUAAGAAAUAUAGAAACCGAUAUUUUAAAUUUUAAAGAAACAGACGAAAUAGUUACCAUAGCAUCAAAUUAUUAUAAAAAAGCUUUAAUUAGCGACCAAUCUAGGCUAAUAGAACAUAUACAGGAAAUAGAUUUGGAUAUAACCUAUACAAACAGUAGAUUAAAAUAUCAAACUAAGCUAAGCAAAAAAUAUCUUAACUUAAACCACUUAGGAUAAACAAGAUAGCUUCAUUAAAACAUCUCGAUUACCUAGAUCUCAGAUUCCAACCUGAAAAGAAAUACAGAAUAUUAAAAAAUAAUUCUACCAUAAGGUGUAAUUUUAAUCAAGGAGAACAUAUUUUACAUUCGGAAGAUAAACAAUAUAAUACAAUAAUAGACUUUCUAAUAAAUUUAAGCGAAAAAAUUCAGGAAAAAGAUAAUAGUAUAAUAAGAACUCUAGACCACAUAGAAGUUACUCAGAAUAAAUAUAAAAAGACACUAGAUAAGAUAGAACAAAAUUUAGAUUAUCUUAAGUCUCAAGAAGUAGAAAUCGACAGAAAAAUCCAGUAUUUAAACCAUAAGUUUAAUUUGGAAAAAAUACCUACAAAAUUUGAAAUCGAAAAACUAAUAGCAACUAUAAUAGAAAAACCUAAAGAAUUGGAAUUAAAAACAACUCAACUAAUAUCUAAGCUUGUAGAACAGGUAGAAAACAUAACAACGGAAAUCAAAGACUUACAAGAAAUAACAAAAAGAUUAGAAGAAAUAUCACUUUCAUGAGCGAAGAAGAUAUAAAUUACAAUAAAGCACUAGAAAAAUCAAAAAAUUAUCAUAGUGACCCUGAAGGACUAUCUAGGCAUAUACCUUCAAGUCAAACAGAUAAAAUCCUACUAAAACAAAAUAACACUAUAAUAGAAUUACUAUUAGAUUUACACAAAAAGAUAGACAUCUGAAUAAAAGGCAAAGAAACUCAAAAACCUCUCCACAAAGAGCCAGAGUUACCCGAACUACACAAGAAAAUAGACAUCUUAAUAAAUAAAGAAACCCAACCAAAAAAUAACCUAGAAAUAGACGAACUAGUUAACCAAUUAAAAAGAAUUGAAUUAACUCCUAAACAAGAACGAAAAAACAUAAUACGAAAACCACAAAAAUGGACUUUCUAUCAAAUAGACGGAGAGCCAUCGAAAAUAAUACAGGACAAGGAGAAGAAAGACAAAGAAUAAGUUUUUCAGAAAAUAGAAUAGGAAAUAAUAAUAUAUUAGCAAGAAUAUGCAGACGACAACCUAAUGCAGAACAGAAUCAAGAACUCAACGAAAUAAUAGAUGUAGACAAAGACCUACAAAUUUUUCAACAACAUCAAUUAAAAUUACUAAAUCCUAAGACACUAUAUAAUGCAGGAUAUUUUUCGACAGAUAACCAGUUAUAUAGACAUUAUAGAGAAGAACAAAUAUCUGCCAUAGGAGAAGACUUUAAAAUAUUAGAUUUAGUAAAUGCUCACUCUCUAAAACAUCUAAAAAAUAGAAUGGUAUUAAUGCAUAUGGGUUUAAUAGUUAUAGGAAUAAAAGGAUUAACUAGAAAAAAUUUAGGAUCCAAAGUAUUGAUAACCAUAUAUGAUGAUAGAUGGUCAGACAUUAAAAAAUCAAUAAUAGAAUUAACUGAAGUGGAUAUGACUAAUAAUGGAGGAAUAUUUUACAUAAGUCUAGACUUCCUAAUGAAUUUAAAAGAAUUUGGACAAAAUAUUAAAAUAGGAAUUCAGACUAAGGGAUACGAAGAAAUGAAUAGCGGAAAUAAUUUACUAAUGUGCAUAGGUUUUAUUGGAAAAUUAACUUUAAGCAGUAAUACGAAAUUUAAAUUAAAAGUAAAUGAUGUAGUGGAAAUAAUGGGAAAUAAAGGCAUAAGUUUAAUAAAACCAAUAAAAAUACAUCCCGAAAUAUACGCAGGUUUAGAAUGGAAUUUAAAUAAAUUUACCAAACCAAAAAUUUUUACACCAGACUCUCAUCUAUUAUAUACUACGAGUAAGGGAGAAACUUCGGUAAGGUUUACAGAUUACAACUACACAGCCAAAAGAAAUUUAGACGACGAUGAAACAGAAAGUAAUAUAGAAACAGAAAGCGAGUUUAUGAAUAUAGAAGUCCUCCAAGAGGGAUAUGAGUAGACAUGGCCAUAGAAAAGGCUGAAACUUUAGCGGAAGAAUAUAAAAAUAUAACUUUUAAAUGUAAAGGAUGUCAAAAAGACAACAUGAAAAUUGAAGAAUGUAUAAAACAUUUCAAAAACUGUUUAGAAAGAAAUGAUAAUUUCGGAUAUAGAAAUAACAAAACUAGCUUUGAAAGAAAAGAUGAAGACACACUUUCUAUAUUAAGUUCCACUAUCAGUUAUAAAGAACUAGCAGAAUUGGAACCAACAAGCUCCUCGAGUGCUAGCCCGUUCCAACAAACAAACCCUAAUCCUCAGCCAAUAGAUUAUAGUACAGGUAAUGUACCUAGAAGACCAGCAAUCAGGAUAAACCCAGAUACCGAACUUAGGGGAGAUCAUAUAAAACCAGCAGGUAAACGAAUGCCAAUAGAAGAACCAAUUAAACUACAAGAAGGGGGUAGUAAAGGUAAAAUACUAAACAUAGCAGCUCAUGAUCCCCAAAUGUGGGAUACAGUAAUAGACUUAUGGAAAGGAAUAGUAGCUGCAGAUUACUUAAGACAUUAUACAGAAACAGAUACAGAAACAAUGUAUAAAUAUUUNNNNNNNNNNNNNNNNNNNNNNNNNNNNNNNNNNNNNNNNNNNNNNNNNNNNNNNNNNNNNNNNNNNNNNNNNNNNNNNNNNNNNNNNNNNNNNNNNNNNNNNNNNNNNNNNNNNNNNNNNNNNNNNNNNNNNNNNNNNNNNNNNNNNNNNNNNNNNNNNNNNNNNNNNNNNNNNNNNNNNNNNNNNNNNNNNNNNNNNNNNNNNNNNNNNNNNNNNNNNNNNNNNNNNNNNNNNNNNNNNNNNNNNNNNNNNNNNNNNNNNNNNNNNNNNNNNNNNNNNNNNNNNNNNNNNNNNNNNNNNNNNNNNNNNNNNNNNNNNNNNNNNNNNNNNNNNNNNNNNNNNNNNNNNNNNNNNNNNNNNNNNNNNNNNNNNNNNNNNNNNNNNNNNNNNNNNNNNNNNNNNNNNNNNNNNNNNNNNNNNNNNNNNNNNNNNNNNNNNNNNNNNNNNNNNNNNNNNNNNNNNNNNNNNNNNNNNNNNNNNNNNNNNNNNNNNNNNNNNNNNNNNNNNNNNNNNNNNNNNNNNNNNNNNNNNNNNNNNNNNNNNNNNNNNNNNNNNNNNNNNNNNNNNNNNNNNNNNNNNNNNNNNNNNNNNNNNNNNNNNNNNNNNNNNNNNNNNNNNNNNNNNNNNNNNNNNNNNNNNNNNNNNNNNNNNNNNNNNNNNNNNNNNNNNNNNNNNNNNNNNNNNNNNNNNNNNNNNNNNNNNNNNNNNNNNNNNNNNNNNNNNNNNNNNNNNNNNNNNNNNNNNNNNNNNNNNNNNNNNNNNNNNNNNNNNNNNNNNNNNNNNNNNNNNNNNNNNNNNNNNNNNNNNNNNNNNNNNNNNNNNNNNNNNNNNNNNNNNNNNNNNNNNNNNNNNNNNNNNNNNNNNNNNNNNNNNNNNNNNNNNNNNNNNNNNNNNNNNNNNNNNNNNNNNNNNNNNNNNNAAUUUUUUGCCUAAUUCUUCAUUAAAUGUAUUUUCACUGACAGUACAAUAAUAGAAGUAGUCUUGUAGGAAUUUCUUUAUAUAUACCCAAUGUGAAAUGCUUAAUUGUUCUAGUUUUAUUAACGCUUCCUUUUGUAGAGCUAAUAAUCCACUAUUUGGAUCUUUUCCUGUUAAUAACAUAUGCAUUUUAUUUGUAAAAUUAUAGGGAUUUGGCCCCAUACUUAAUAGAACCUGGAAGUCAUAUGGGCAGUUUGUCUUAAAACUUUCCCAUGUAGCUUUUGCAGAUUCUCCUAGAAAAGUUUCUAAAUAUUUAUACAUUGUUUCUGUAUCUGUUUCUGUAUAAUGUCUUAAGUAAUCUGCAGCUACUAUUCCUUUCCAUAAGUCUAUUACUGUAUCCCACAUUUGGGGAUCAUGUGCUGCUAUAUUUAGAAUUUUACCUUUACUACCGCCUUCUUGUAGUUUAAUUGGUUCCUCUAUCGGCAUUCUCUUUCCUCUAUCGGCAUUCUCUUUACCAAUCUAGGCUAAUAGAACAUAUACAGGAAAUAGAUUUGGAUAUAACCUAUACAAACAGUAGAUUAAAAUAUCAAACUAAGCUAAGCAAAAAAUAUCUUAACUUAAACCACUUAAGAUAAACAAGAUAGCUUCAUUAAAACAUCUCGAUUACCUAGAUCUCAGAUUCCAACCUGAAAAGAAAUACAGAAUAUUUUUAGAAGCAGAACUUAUGAAUUUAGAAGAUACUAAUACUAAUCUAAUAUGCAAUGAAGAUAAAGAAUUCUCUACUAUUAAAGUUUUAGUAAAAAUCAAAAUAAAAGAUGUCGAAAUAGAAACUCUAGCAUUAGUAGAUCCCGGAUGUACUAGCUGUUUAAUCAAUAAAGAAAUAGUACCAGAACACUUAUUAAAAAUACUUGAAAAACCUAUAAUGGCUACUCAAAUGGAUGGAUCACACAAUAUCUAUAAUUAUUAUAUAGAGAAAGCUCAACUAAGCUUUUUAAAUACAUGCAAUCAAUUCUAUAACCCAGUUUACAAUGUUAAUAAAAUACUAGCACGAGAUAUAAGUAUAGGAUCAGAUUUUGUUAUAGGAUUAAGAUUUUGUAUACAGAAUCAAGGAGGAUGUCUCUUGACAAGAGAUGGAAUAAUGCUCUUUAAAAAUUUAACUUAUACACCAGUACAAACAGUAACAUUGCCAACAGUAUAUAGAACAUUAAACACAAAUAAAACUAGACUGCUUUCAGAAUCGUGUUGCGACAGUUGCCAAAACACUCGAUGUCAAAACAGCAACCUGUCAAAAGAAAACAAAAAUAUAAAAGAAAACCUAGAAGAAGUUAGAAACUAUACUCUGCUUAAUGCAGAAGGACAAGAAUGCCUAACAGAUAUCGAAAAAGACUAUACCCUAAUAAGCAUAGAAACUCAGUUUUAUAAUUUUAGAAAAGGAAUAAAUAAAAUAGGAAUAAUAAACAGUCCAAAAGAUUUAGAAAAUAUAAUCUCUAUAUUAGACGAAAUGGAGAUAAUAGGAGAAAGACCGUUAGCCCAUUGGGAAGCCAAUGAGAUAAUGUGUAAAUUAGAUAUAAUUAAUUUAGAAUAUACAAUAAAAACGGCACCUAUAGAAGCAAAUAAUGAAGAUACUAAAGAAUUCGAUACACAAAUAAAAGAACUCUUACAAUUAGGAGUAAUAAGAAGAUCUACCUCUAAACAUAGAUCAGCUGCUUUUAUGGUAAGAAAUCAUAGUGAACAAGUAAGAGGUAAAGCUCGUAUGGUAAUUAAUUACAAAAGAUUAAAUGAUAAUACUAGAACAGAUGCUUACAAACUACCAGAUAAAAGUGAGUUAAUCAAUAGAAUUCAAAAUAAAAAGGUUUAUAGUAAAUUUGACUGUAAGUCAGGCUACUGGCAAGUCAAAAUGCAUCCAGAUAGCAUAGAAUGGACAGCAUUCACAUGUCCAAGCGGACAUUUUGAAUGGUUAGUUAUGCCGUUCGGAUUAAAAACAGCUCCGCCCAUUUUUCAACGAAAAAUGGAUAACAUAUUUGGAGAAUAUAAACAUUUUAUCUUAGUAUACGUAGAUGAUAUUUUAGUAUUUAGUCAAACCAUGCAAGAACAUUUAGGACACUUACAAGUAAUUUUUAGACUAUUUGUUAAACAUGGUAUAAUAAUAAGUAAAAAGAAGAUGGAGUUAUGCAAAACUUAUAUUAAUUUUCUAGGAAUAACUCUAGGAAAUGGAAAAGUAAAACUACAACCACACAUAGCAAAAAAGGUACUAGACAUGCCAGAUAAAUUAGAAACAACAAAAGAUUUACAAAAAUUCUUAGGAUUAGUAAAUUAUGCACGAAAUUUUAUUCAAGAUUUAGGAAAAAUAGCAGGACCUUUAUAUGCAAAAACAGGUAGCAAAGGACAAAAACAUUUUAAUAUAGAAGAUAUUAAAUUAGUCCAAAAAAUAAAAGAAAAAAUCAACAAUAUCCCGGACCUAAAAAUUCCAUUAGAAUCAGACUACUUAAUUAUUCAAACAGAUGGAAGUGACUUAGGAUGGGGAGCUAUUUUAAAAGCAAGACCUAAUAAAUAUAGUAAUAAAAGUGAAGAACAAAUAUGUGGAUAUCAAAGUGGCGCGUAUAAAGAAAAAGGAAACAUGAGCGCUAUAGACUUAGAAGUAUUAGCUAUCAUAUAUGGUCUAAACGCUUUCAAACUGUACAUACUAAAUAAAGAAGAAAUUUUAGUCAGAACAGAUUGUGAAGCUAUAGUUAAAUUUCAUCAAAAAAUAAAUGACAAAACUAGUAGCAGAAGAAGAUGGCUAAAUUUUACAGAUACUAUAUCCGUUUACAAGAAUAUAGUAUUCGAACAUAUAAAAGGAAAAGAGAACGAAUUAGCUGACCAGUUAAGUAGACUACAACUAGGAAUAAAUAAAUAAGUUUUAAUUUUACUCAUUUGUUUUCAGCAUGAGACCAACAGGACAACCUCCUGCAGACAAAGGCAAAGGUGUAGCUUCGUCCUCAGAGGCUUACAAACAGAUUAUGUUAGGUAACUUAAAUUUUAGACCAUUAGAAUCUCUCGAGACAAUGGAACGAAUUCAUUUCGGCCCAUUUAAUUUAAUCGCAUACCCCGAGAGCAAUAUAUCUUUUAGAAUAAGACCAGACUACGUUUUAGACAGACCUCAAAGAUGUUUAAUAGAUAACCUCUGGAUUUCUUACAAUAGACAAAAUCGAAAUCAUUUCAUGGCAUCUAUGAAUGCUUUAUGUCAUUACAUGGCCGAAAAAAGUAGGCCUCGUUUUAAAUACUAUGUAGUAAUUCAUGGAAAAACUAAUGGCAUUUUCCAAACAUGGUUAGAAGUAUUAGACUCUAUACAAGGUUUCAAAGCCCCUCUUUUUAAAGGUUUUAAUGAUUUCACAGAAGCCACUAAUCAUGCUAGGGGAUAUUUAGGGCCAAAUUAUUACAUAUCUCCUUCUCUUAGACAAAAUCCAGACCAGAUACCCCAGUACAACUUGCAAAAGGAAACUGGAAAGAUUAUUUUUUGUAACCAUUGUUCUUCUAUGACGGAAAACUUCAAAACGCUAAAUGCCCAAAAGGAGUCACUCCUCAUGGAAAACACUAGAUUGAUUAAACACAUACAAAUGUUAGAAACAAAACUCAGACAGCAGACUCCAGUAAGCAAAACUGAUGCACAAACUCAGACCCCAACUCAGAGUUCUCCAUCUCCUCAAAAAAUGGAUGAGAAGGGUGUGCAUUUCCCAAUAAAUGCUCAGAAAUCCACUGUACCGGAUGUUGGUACAGCUAGUCCGAUUCAAACGGUGAUCGGUAAAGACGCAUCAAAUCCGUUCAUGGCUGUCACUUUGCCAAAAAGUGAAGAUGAAGGCUGCUCUUCAUCAAAAACUAAAAUAAGACAAACGCAAGACAAAUAUAUGGAUGGACUACCAGACGAACAGUCGGAUAGCACUGUACCAGAAAUAAAUAAUACAGAUAAUAAUUCUGCAAGAUCAAAUGAAGAAGAUAGCAUAGAACAAUUUCAGGAUGCUCAGGAUCCAUAUGAAGACGACGACUCAGGCAUGAGCUUCGACUCCAUAGCCCUGCACAACUUGGAUACGUAAAAAUACUCUACAGUUGUAAAGAUACUCUACAGUUGUCAUAGUUUUGUAUUAUUAGCUAGUAUGGUCAAGUGGGGAUGCCCACUUUAUGUCUUGUAAAAGUCAGAGUCAGUCUGAGUGCUUCCUUUAUCACUACUUUCUAAAAAGAAAGAAAAACUGUUGAAGCACGCGUCAAAAUAUGCUUGAAAGAAAAUUAAUAACGCAUGUGACGAUGGGGCCCAAAGCGUACCCGACUUGCAUUAUUAAAGUUUUCUUUCUUAUCCCUUAUCUAAAAGUGUCGGCCAAUUAUGUUGCGGCCACGUAGUAGCUUUAGAACCACUCCUUUAUGUACAUUUUUCCUAUAAAAGGAGCACAUCUUGUAGUAGAAAGGCAGAGAGAAAAAUCAACCAACCUAAAAACUCGCCUGAAAUGUUUAAACCUUUCCUCCCAAAAAACUUGUCUAACCCAGUCGUUCUUGUAUAAACUUUGUAACAUCGUGGUUUAAAUAAAAGCUUCAAGUUUUCUAUUCGAUCUUUAGGGGGUUCCCGAAAGGGAAACCUCUCUCCUAGUUACUUCAUGUAAGUUCUUAUUUCCAUAUUUUCCCCACAAAAAUAUUUAUAUUCAUGUUCUUAUAUAUGUUUUAAAUAGUUUUUUUUGCAUAACCAUGUAAAUUAAACUGUCUAUAACCUUCUUACCCUUAGUAUAUGGUUAGCCUCUUAAUUUCUUAGUAUCAACGAUGGAUUAACCUGUAAAUUCCUAGGAAUUCUGGCUUUUUUAGUCCAAAAGGUCUGCACAAUAGACAAAGGACGAUUGUUAGCUGCCAGAUAAAAAUUUUCCGGGGUGUGGUUAAAGAAGUACGAUGUUAAGAACAUAGAUUAAGAGGAAGAG
rnacentral:lncRNA from 1 species